rnacentral:tRNA from 1 species
GGCCCCGUGAUGAAAUGGAUAUCAUACUUGACUUCUAAUCAAACUUUCCGGGUUCGAUCCCCGGCGGGGCUG